GACGAACGCUGGCGGCGUGCUUAACACAUGCAAGUCAGGGGGGCUUGGGCAACCGAGCAACCGGCGAACGGGUGCGUAACACGUGACCAACCUGCCCUCGUGUGGGGGAUAGCCGGGCUAACGCCCGGGUAAUACCGCAUACGUUGCUCUGGGGGAGUCCUCAGGGGAGGAAAGCCUGUGGCGACAUGGGCGCACGGGGGAGGGGGUCGCGGCCUAUCAGCUAGGUUGGGGGGGUAACGGCCUCCCAAGGCGACGACGGGAGCUGGUCUGAGAGGAUGGCCAGCCACAUUGGGACUGAGAGACGGCCCAGACUCCUACGGGAGGCAGCAGUGGGGAAUCUUGCGCAAUGGCCGAGAGGCUGACGCAGCGACGCCGCGUGUGGGAGGACGCC
rnacentral:rRNA from 1 species